rnacentral:rRNA from 1 species
UAUGUGAUCGUCUCUCGCAUAUCAAUAAGCGGAGGAAAAGAAACUAACAAGGAUUCCCCUAGUAACGGCGAGUGAAGCGGGAAGAGCUCAAAUUUGAAAUCUUAAAGGGUUUCCCUUUACGAAUUGUAGUUUGAAGAAGUGUUUUCUGUUGAGGUUUUGGUAAAAGUUCUUUGGAAUAGGACAUCAUAGAGGGUGAGAGUCCCGUAUUUGACCUUUACUUUCAACUUUGUGAUACACUUUCAAAGAGUCGGAUUGUUUGGGAAUGCAGUCCAAAAUGGGUGGUAAAUUUCAUCUAAAGCUAAAUAUUGGCGAGAGACCGAUAGCGAACAAGUACCGUGAGGGGAAGAUGAAAAGAACUUUGAAAAGAGAGUUAAACAGUACGUGAAAUUGUCAAAAGGGAAGCGUUUGACACCAGUGUUGUUUUUCUGAAAAUCAAUUAAAGAACUGUUUAUGCUAAGCUGUUUAGACUUUAUCAGCUAACUGUUUAGUUUUGAGCUUUUCUUUAAUGCACUUUUCAGUUAACAAGUCAACAUCAAUUUCUUUUGCUGUAAAAAAGCUUGAGGAAGGUGGCUUGAGAUUCGUCUUAAGUGUUUAUAGCCUCUUGCCUAUGCAGUCGGAGAGAUUGAGGUCUGCAGCGUAGAUCCUUCGGGGCUAAAUGCAUUUGUGCUAAGUUAUAGCAUUUUAUAGACAACUUGUUGACUAUGAUUUGUCUUGUAGCUUACUCGCUUAUGUUAUUUUACCUACGCUUAGGAUGUUGACUGAUAUGUAGUCGUA